rnacentral:lncRNA from 1 species
CCUCGACGGCGUGCUCUCCGAUCUGCACUCCCUCCUUCUCUCCACGCUCGCCGCGUCGCUGCGCUCCCCAUCACCAUGGCAACGAUGUGAGUUUCAGUGUGCCCAGCUCAUCCCGUGUUCGAUUGGGCUGGGGCGCUCAUGGCGGCGCUGGAAGGAAUCUCCUAGCCAAAUUUUAGCAUGGAGGCGCCUUCCAGAGCACCUUGCCGCUGGUAGUGAUGUCCGACGGCGUGAGGACAUGGUGAGGCUUCAACGAAUCAUCCAUGGAUUCGACGAUUUCAAGGUUCGAUCUCCCCUUUAUCCCCCCUGCUAUUCCUACAAAACAAUUCAACAGAAUUAAGGCGUUAGGUACCACAGAUCUUCCAUUGAUCAGGGUGAACUGUUGAUUAUGCUUAUUAUAGGCUUCAAUGGAUUAAAUCUGAGAAGAUAAUUCUUGAAAUGGAG